UCGUCGUUGUGGUGGUGAUUGUGGUUGUUGUUGUUGUUGUCAUUUUGUUGUUGUUGUUGUUGUUGUUGUUGNNNNNNNNNNGUGGUGGUGGUGGUGCUAGUGGUGGUGGUGGUGUUCCUGUUGUUGUUGUUGAUGUUGUUGUUGUUGUUGCUGUUGUUGUUGUAGUAGUUAUUUUUGUUGUUGUGGUGGUGGUGGUGGUGGUUGUGAUGGUUAUUGUUGUUGUUGUUGUUGUUGUACUUGUUUUUUGUUGUUGUUGUUGUUGUUGUUUUUGUUGUUGUUGUUGUUGUUGUUGUUGUUGUUGUUGUUGCUGUUGUUGUUGUUGUUGUUGUUGCUGUUGUUGUUGGUACUGUUGUUGCUGUUGUUGUUGUUGUUGUUGCUGAUGUUGUUGUUGUUGUUGUUGUUG
rnacentral:lncRNA from 1 species